rnacentral:rRNA from 1 species
UACGUAGGGUGCAAGCGUUAAUCGGAAUUACUGGGCGUAAAGCGUGCGCAGGCGGUGAUGUAAGACAGUUGUGAAAUCCCCGGGCUCAACCUGGGAACUGCAUCUGUGACUGCAUUGCUGGAGUGCGGCAGAGGGGGAUGGAAUUCCACGUGUAGCAGUGAAAUGCGUAGAUAUGUGGAGGAACACCGAUGGCGAAGGCAGCCCCCUGGGUCAAGACUGACGCUCAUGCACGAAAGCGUGGGGAGCAAACAGG